rnacentral:rRNA from 1 species
GACGAACGCUGGCGGCGUGCCUAAUACAUGCAAGUAGAACGCAGUUGCGAACGGGUGAGUAACGCGUAGGUAACUGCCUCAUAGCGGGGGAUAACUAUUGGAAACGAUAGCUAAUCCCGCAUACUGUGAGAUGGACCUGCGUGGGAUUAGCUAGUUGGUGAGGUAAAGGCUCACCAAGGCGACGAUACAUAGCCGGCCUGAUAGGGGUAUCGGCCAAACUGGGACUGGGACACGGGCCAGAAUCCUACGGGAGGCAGCAGUAGGGGAUCUUCGGCAAUGGACGGAAGUCUGACCGAGCCACGCCGCGUGAGUGAAGAAGGUUUUCGGAGCGUAAAGCUCUGUUGAUAGAGAAGCGGUAACUAAACAGAAAGGGACGGCUAACUACGUGCCAGCAGCCGCGGUAAUAC